rnacentral:piRNA from 1 species
UGACUGCGACUGGAGCAGGCCUUGGGUUGU